UUUAAACCUUCAUCAUUUUCUACAACAAUAACAGCUUGUUCGUGAGCGGAGUCCGCUGCAUUCCGGCGAACUCGUCAUAAUGGCAUGUGAGCACAUGUUAAACAGUUGGGGUGUGUAAGCUUUUCUGGUUAUUUUAUCAACGAUAAUCGCAGCAACAUAGCAGCCAUAUGGCUUGCUCUAUAAAAGUUGUGCACUUAAUUUCCGCCAAAGCUUCACAGUGGAAUGCUGUAGAACAGAGUAGAACACUAGAACUACAUUCCUGUUACAUACUGUGUGUCUUCGUAUAAAAAUAGGAAGGGGGACCUAGAGCGAAGGAGGGAGCAUUGAAGGAGAGGGAGGGAGAACGCUGGAUACAGCACAUCUUUCCAUCCUACGUUCCCCACUCGCAUUUGAGGAAAUUGGAACUCUGUUAAGCCCAUAUACCUGGGAAGAUGCCUACGAUGCGCCACGCACGUUGCCUCAAAGGAAACGGACUGACUGCUGAGAACGACCGAGAGUAUUCCUGAAUAAACGAGGGACACCUGACCAAAAUAAAGAGAGUUGCCGGCCGUGGCUGCCAUGGACAUGGCUGCGCUGGAGUCCGAGGUUUACCAGCCUCCACACCUCUCUACUGGACAGUGACCAGCCUCCAUUCUCUACUGGAUACUGGCCAGCCUCCACUCCUCUCCACAUGACAGUGACCAGCCUCCAGGCCCUCUACAGGAUAUCCAGCCUCCAGUCUCUAAAGGACAGGGACUUCCAGUCUCUUCUACAGGAUCGUGAAAGCAUCCUCGUUACUUGGAAUGUGAUGGAGCCAGUGAUGUGAACUGUGACAUGCUGGAAGUUUUGUGGUUGUUCUGUCUCCUCGGGCAGCCACUCUCCCGACCCGAUCCGCUAUGCAGCCGAGAGAGGCUCGACAUUGUUAGCAGAACAAAAAACGAGCUGUCCAAGGUGUCAGAGGGUUUGAACCUCACUCUGUACACGCCCACCACCACCGACAUGCAGAGUUGUCGAAAUGCCUCUCUGAAGUGCUUCUUGGAUGAGGUGAAGGUCCUGUAUAUAGAGCUGGACGUGGCAGGAGAGUCUCUAAAAGGGUUGAUCAAGAGUAUGAACAGAACCCUAUCACUCCUUUCCACAUACCCUGUGCCGGAGGCCAGCUGUGAGCUUAUGUCCUGUGAGCUUCAUCCCGAGAUGUCAGCGGAUAGUUUCCUCCAUAAUCUAGGCAUAAUCUUAGAGGGGUUGAACUCUUCCUACUGUAGGAAGAGGUAGGUAGCGGGGGAAGCAAUGCUGUAUCCCUUGAGUUGCUUUUUUCUACAACUCAAAAUACACACAAACAACAGCUGCAAUGAUGGAGGCUUGUUGGAGGAGGAGGAUGGGUGACAAGCUGAUAUAAAGACUAUAACCGCUAUUGGUUAGUGUUUGUUAUUGGUUUAGGUUCAGUUUCACACAUUCCUUUCUCAAUUAUGGGAUGAGUAUAUAUUUUAUUGAACUACUUAGAUAAUGACUGGUACAUAUACAUUUCAGCACAAACUGCCAAUCAUAUGGUAUGUUAAUAAAAUCUGUGGUGUUAUAUUUCCUGGUUUCUUAUAUGUAUUAUAUUGGUAACAGGAUAAUAACAAAAGGGAAUUGAUUAAUGCUUAGAAAGUCAUAUAAACCAAAUCCAUCUCAAUUAAGGGACUAAGGGAAAAAAACACAUUUGAACACCGAAACUCGGUUCCAGUAGGUAACCUGUUCCGAAGUAAACGGUAGUACCGAGAUCGAAUAAGAACGCACAUUUCGGUGCCUCAUAACGGUGCCUGACUUUUUUUAACGUCCCCUGCCCCGCCCCCAUGGUGUCGCGGCGUCAACUUGCGUUAGUGCUGGGCGCUAUACAGUUUUACACUGAAUAAGGUGUGUGUAUUUUCGUUGUAAUAUGAUUUUUUUAUAUACCGCCACACCGGUGUAUUUGAUUACACAACGUUCGGAAUUCGGAGCCGCGCGACACUGACGGGACCCUUUUUCAAAGUUGCGCUUCGCACGCAUGGUACGACUACGACUGCGUUUUUCUUCAUAAGUCCAUUGCCGCGUUCCAAUAUCCAUACUAUCCGUACUUACUAGCCUAAGUUUGAGUACGUAGGGCGUUCCGAUUCAGAUCGGGCGAAAAUAAUUGUACUGAAAGGAGCCGGUUUAAGUACCAUAUCGGCUCGGCUUCCAGAUCGGCUCGGGGUCCGUCGUCUUCUGAUUACGUUACACAAUAUCAUUGGCUGUACGCUUGAAUGGGCGUACAUGUGAUUGGCUGUACGUCGGACAGUUGUGAUUGGCUGUUUUGUGCUGUAGCUCUGGCUGUAGUCAUAGCAACCACGAGGCAACAGCGAGCACAUGUGUGAGCGCGAGUAGGUGUCUAGUUUAGGUUUGUGUUGCCAGAUUGGGCAUAUGUCCCGUUUUUCCAGCCUGACGUGAUUCAAAGUAGCCAAAUCAGGCUGAAAAUGUGCCAAUCUGGCAACACGGACGGCUUAUCUUAACAGCCAAGAUGAUUCCGAGGGAUGUUUUGUUUUUAGAAGAAAACUAUCCAUACAGAUAGGUUGGGAAUGGUCUAUGUUCAAAAUGAAAGAUCAUUACAGGCUCUUUAAUUUAAGCCAUAAAAAAC